CGAAACUGCCUUUCAGGCAUCCUCUCCCAAAACUUCCAAGGCCUGGCCGGCAACGGCCGGGCCUUUUUUCUUUCCGGC
rnacentral:sRNA from 1 species